rnacentral:rRNA from 1 species
GACAUAGGUGGCGAACGUUAUCCGGAAUCAUUGGGCGUAAAGGGCGCGUAGGUGGCCCGGUCAGUCUUUGGUGAAAGCGCGGGGCUCAACCCUGCGUCGGCCAGGGAUACUGCCGCGGCUCGAGCACUGUAGAGGCAGGCGGAAUUCCGGGUGUAGCGGUGGAAUGCGUAGAGAUCCGGAAGAACACCGGUGGCGAAGGCAGGUCUCUGGGCCAUAACUGACGCUGAGAAGCGAAAGCAUGGGGAGCGAACAGG